rnacentral:lncRNA from 1 species
UACACAUCUGGUUCUAGUAAAAUAAGAAAUAGAUUGAAUAAAAACCCUAGCAUUAGAGAUCAACUAAUGGAGCGUUUGAAAAUUCGGUUGAAAUGUGCUUCCAUGGUGUGGAUAGAAGUCAAAAGUAAAUAGAUCCUAUUUAAAAUAGGGUUUAUUGUGCGGACAAGAGCGACUCUGCACCAUUGGCCUACUACUCACCAGUUUUUUGUAUAUCUGUAUUAUGAAAUAUGUUAGUGCAAUACAUCUUCCGUUGUCUUAAUAUUCAAUUAUUAACAUGUUUCUCAUUAUUAUAACCGUUAUAACAAUUCAAUUUAUUUUGAAUAUCGCUAUAUCGUUUUGUGUUUCAUCCAUUGAAAAUGAAAGUAAAAUCUUACCGCAGUUGGUUUAUUUUUCUUCAGCGUGGUAUAAGUUGAUUGUGUUAACUGCAAACAGUCCCAGAAAUGUCGGCAACUAAAAUGAUUCUAGCUGAGAAAAUAAUUACCUACACCAAAGAAAUUAGAGGCAUUCUUUUAGAUGGCAUAUCUAGAUAGAUGGCAUAUUCAUAGAAUGCAAAACAUUUCAAUUCAUGUAAACGUGUUUGCCACAAUAAAACAACAGUAUAGAUGAGAUGUAAUGAAAAUGUCGAACCUCAGGACUUUCAACAACUUGCUGGAAGAAUAAAGCAACAGUCAAGGGUGUUUACAAACAGUAUCGUCUGUACUUUGUGAGUGGUAUAUAAAGUAGAGCUCAGGUCCAAUAAUCAUGGAGUAUGUAUCACAAAGCAGUAACGUUAUUUGAACAAAUUUAACUACUCCCGCUUGUACCGCUCCAAAGAUAUACCAUUAAUAAGCUGAAAGAAAGCACAACAUUGUAUACUUAUGGAAGUAAUGUCAGCUAGAACACAAGUCGUCUCAAGCAUGACGAGAAAGGGAAUACUGACAGUGUCAGUAAGUUAAGGCAUUACAAUGAUGUUUGCAUGAAUGGAAUGUUAUAAUGUUGUAACGAUACUGAAGUCUCAUUUACUGUAAAAGGUGAAAAACAACAAUCCAUACGGAUGACAGCUUUCAUCAAUGGGUAUUUGAAAAGUUUACAACAAUACGCUUAUGCUUAACCAUUGUUUGUUAUUGAUCAGAAUAUUGGAAGUAGUUGUUUAGAGUCAGAGUUAAUUUUCUAUUUCAUUUGGAUAAUACAUAGGACGAGUGAAGGAAUGUGAUUAUUGGUUACAUUUAAUUCGGACUGAAAUUCCAUAUAAUCAGGAAUAUAUGUACAUAUAGUGGAGGAAUUCAGUUGCUGAUGAGAAAGUUUUAUUGUGAUUCAGAUUGGAUUGAUUUUUUAUACUGUUCGGAAUAUACAUAGACAUAGUGAAUGAUUAUCAUUAUUUAGACUAGGUGUGUUUUAUUUUAAAUACAUUUAGGAAUAUACUUACAUAUAGUGCAGGAAUAUUAUUCUUAGUGAUGUACGUUUCUUCUUGUUAUUAAUAUGUAUUGAAAUCGAAUAUAAUGUUAAAAACGUUUGAGAUAUACUUACAUAAGAUGAAGGAAUAUGAUAAAUGAAACUGUUUAUUUAUUUAUAUUUUUUUUAUUUUUAAAUGCCUAUUUACGCAAGAAAUAAAUGAUUAGUACAUCGUGUUCUAAUUAUUAGACAAACCACUAUUUAUCCAUUUAAUAGACUUUAAUAUACACUUUGGAAAAAAGUUAUUUACGAAAUAAAUAUUUUAGAAGGACCAAACAUAUCAUGUAUCAUGUCAGUAGAAGGGCAGGUUAUCGCAAGUUCCGACAGUAGCAUAGUCAAUAUUUGGGCUAGGAAAAAAUUGUCAUUAAAGAGAUAAAGGUUUUCCAUUCUAAGGUAACGACACAGCGAGAGGAAUACAAUCUCCCUUUUUAAGCUUCAAAAUUCCAGGCUAUAAAUUUACGGUAGGCGCAUGUAGUGAGUCAAAAACCCUUUUAUUAGAAUUAUAUAUUAUCGUUCUAUAAAACAGGUCUUUUGAAAUGUCAGUUGUUUAUUUAUAUUUCAAUUUUUCAUGCAUUUGUCUCGAUUAGUUUAUCCAAAUGAUAACACAUAUAGUUUGUGGAGGCCACCAAGUUCCAUGUCUUUUUACAAUUCCUUUGAUGUAUAUUCCCGUCAGGUUUAAUGGAUGUUGAACGAAUAUACUCUUAAUGAACUUAAUGAAAUGCAGUAUAUGUGUACCUUUGUUAUUGUUAGCGUUUUUGUAAGCUUAACGGGUUGGAGACAGAGUACAAAAUAUUCUAAAGGACUUUAUAGAUAUAUUCCUCUUUUCAAUGAAUAUGCUUGCUGUACGAAUUUUUCAUUCAAAGAAAAAUACUGCCAAUUGGUAUUCAUCUCACAUGAGUAAAAGUCUAGCGAGAAAUGACACUUCUAAUAAAGAUCACGAAAAUUCUUUCCACUUACAUAUAUAUUUUUAUAUUGUUUUCAUCCUAACGUCCUUAUUAAUUAAUUACACACGAAUAUUAUUUGUAUACUAAGUGACACGGUAUAGAACUUGAAUAUACAAAACGGGAAGAAAGUCUGUAGGCGAUCGGGUAGCUCAAUCUGUAGAGCAUAGGAACGGUAUUCCAAGGCCUCGGGCUCGAGUCCCUGUUGGGCUACACAUUUUUUCUCACCUUGUGACAUUUGGCGCCCAACGUGGGGCAUAGGAUGAGAAAUAUGUGCAGCUAGACCGGGAUUCGAACCCGGGGCCUUAAAAUACCGUUGCGAUGCUCUACCGACCGAGCUACCCAGCCGCCUACACAUUUUCUCCCCGUUUUAAUACUUACGUUCUAUACCGUGACAUAAGUAGUAAUUUUCACUAACACUUGAGGUAGAAAACGUUUCACGUUCUUUUUUUCAAAUUAGGCACCUUUAAUUCAAGUUUAGUGUCUUAGUCUUGAAAUUAAGAAUUGCAUUUUCGAUUUUAUUCCUAGUAAAUACUUCUCUUCACUUGGUAAUGUCAUCAUCUAUUGAUAAGAGUAUCAACAUGUUUUUGCUAAAAUUAAUUAUACGUCUACAAUUAGAGUCGCAGAUGUCUGUUUUCAUGAAAUAUACUGUAUUUCAAUGAACAGUAACAGUAAAAUAAAUGAUAUUUGUUUGGAUUUAUUCAAUAUUAGCAAUUAGAAAUGUUAGUAAAUGUUCGAAGUAUAUAAUUCGUAUCGUAUGUUCAAGGAUUUUUGUAAGAAACAGUAAAAGAGUUAUUUUCUAAAACGAAAUAUUUUCGUAUUAGCCGCUUUCAUAAGUCCUAAAAUUUCAGAACAAAGAAUUAAUGUGUUAGGCGGAAUCGAAUCCUCCUCUCUACAACCUGAAAAAACCUUUCCGAGGUAGAAAAAAAUUCAGAUAAAUGACCAUUUUGCAAAAUACAAGUUUCAUUUCCAUUCCGAUAUAAAAGAUUCUUGGGUGGACGGAUAGCUCAGUGGUUUGCACACUGGCCUUCCAAUCCUGAGGUCGGGGGUUCGAUCCCCGGCAGCUACUCGGGAAUUUUCAGAAACGCUUUU